AGUAAUCAAUUCCAACUUUACCACUUUAAUCUCAGAGAAUAUUCAAUUUUUUCUCAGAAUAUUACCCCUCUCUCCCUUGUCCGUAACAUUAUUUCUUUUCCUACAAUGGCCUUAAAACGCUGUUGUAGCAGAAGCAACUUGCGUUUGCCAACAUCAAGCUGACAAGAAACUCUGUGGCAGAUAAAGUUUCUGAU